GCAUUCGACACUUGACCCUGAUGUCCUUCUGGACAGGUGGGUUGGCCUCUUCGGUUCAGUUCUAAAUUGGUUAAGGACCUAUUUUUUUUUAUUUUAUUUCACCUUUAUUCAACCAGGUAGGCUAGUUGAGAACACCUUUAUUCAACCAGGUAGGCUAGUUGAGAACACCUUUAUUCAACCAGGUAGGCUAGUUGAGAACACCUUUAUUCAACCAGGUAGGCUAGUUGAGAACACCUUUAUUCAACCAGGUAGGCUAGUUGAGAACACCUUUAUUCAACCAGGUAGGCUAGUUGAGAACACCUUUAUUCAACCAGGUAGGCUAGUUGAGAACACCUUUAUUCAACCAGGUAGGCUAGUUGAGAACACCUUUAUUCAACCAGGUAGGCUAGUUGAGAACACCUUUAUUCAACCAGGUAGGCUAGUUGAGAACACCUUUAUUCAACCAGGUAGGCUAGUUGAG